rnacentral:rRNA from 1 species
UUGAACGCUGGCGGCAUGCCUUACGCAUGCAAGUCGAACGGUAACAGGUCUUCGGAUGCUGACGAGUGGCGAACGGGUGAGUAAUACAUCGGAACGUGCCCAGUCGUGGGGGAUAACGCAGCGAAAGCUGUGCUAAUACCGCAUACGAUCUCUGGAUGAAAGCGGGGGACUCGCAAGGGCCUCGCGCGAUUGGAGCGGCCGAUAUCAGAUUAGCUAGUUGGUGGGGUAAAAGCCCACCAAGGCGACGAUCUGUAGCUGGUCUGAGAGGACGACCAGCCACACUGGAACUGAGACACGGUCCAGACUCCUACGGGAGGCAGCAGUGGGGAAUUUUGGACAAUGGGCGCAAGCCUGAUCCAGCAAUGCCGCGUGCAGGAUGAAGGCCUUCGGGUUGUAAACUGCUUUUGUACGGAACGAAACGGCUCUUUUUAAUACAGAGGGCUAAUGACGGUACCGUAAGAAUAAGCACCGGCUAACUACGU